rnacentral:rRNA from 1 species
UAGGGAAUCUUCGGCAAUGGACGGAAGUCUGACCGAGCAACGCCGCGUGAGUGAAGAAGGUUUUCGGAUCGUAAAGCUCUGUUGUAAGAGAAGAACGAGUGUGAGAGUGGAAAGUUCACACUGUGACGGUAUCUUACCAGGAAGGGACGGCUAACUACGUGCCAGCAGCCGCGGUAAUACGUAGGUCCCGAGCGUUGUCCGGAUUUAUUGGGCGUAAAGCGAGCGCAGGCGGUUAGAUAAGUCUGAAGUUAAAGGCUGUGGCUUAACCAUAGUAGGCUUUGGAAACUGUUUAACUUGAGUGCAAGAGGGGAGAGUGGAAUUCCAUGUGUAGCGGUGAAAUGCGUAGAUAUAUGGAGGAACACCGGUGGCGAAAGCGGCUCUCUGGCUUGUAACUGACGCUGAGGCUCGAAAGCGUGGGGAGCAAACAGGAUUAGAUACCCUGGUAGUCCACGCUGUAAACGAUGAGUGCUAGGUGUUAGACCCUUUCCGGGGUUUAGUGCCGUAGCUAACGCAUUAAGCACUCCGCCUGGGGAGUACGACCGCAAGGUUG